AGAGAGAUAGAGGGCAGCACGGGACCAGAGUGCUAGCUGCCCUUCAGGAGAACAUGACUGCUUAACUUGCAGGUCUGAAGAGGUAGCCAAGACCGGGAGAGAAGUGGCGGGCAUGCCCGCAUCCUCUCCCCAACCUCUCCAGAAAGAGAUGCAGCGCCUCUGUCUCAUUGUUUAAGAAGAAAAGGGGGAACUUGGAGACGCAGCCAAUGAAGGAUAAAUGAGCGCUCUGCUAGUUCAAAGGCAACGUGCAGAUUGGACAGAGGAAGCGUGCAGAGCUCAGAAGAACAGGAGAAAACCCAGUGACACAGAUAAACAAACAAACAUAAAAAUCCACGCUGAAUGGGGCAGUACUCCCAAGAAGCAGAAUAUGAAGGCCUGAGAGGAAGAAGGCAGACUGAAGAAACAGGCAAUGGAAUAAGGAAAUGAGAAUGUAGACUGUAGCCCUCGGUCCCGGCUUCAGACUCAGUGUGGUACUUGAGAUGUGGCAACGAGGAAGCCGCCCUAAGUCCUCACCUUGGGGACCUCACACUUGAGCUAGGGAGACUGACAGCAAAGGAGGGGUGUGUGAAGUAUGGAGUGUGGCAGAUGGUGAUAGACACCAUCCAGGAAGAUCAAGCAAAGAGGUAGAUGGGGGUGCUGGGCAGAGAAGGGGUUUCCGUUUGCAAUUCGGUCAUGAGAAAAGCCACGUUGCAAAGGUGAUCGUUGAGCAAAGCCUUGAAGAAUGAGAGGAAGUGAGCCAUGUGGGAUCUGGGGGAAGAGCAUUAUAGCAUCUGAAAGCAGAAAGUGCAAAGGCCCUACGAUGGCGCUGGGAGGGCCUUAACCACACAAGCCCAAUGCGGAGCUUGAUUCCAUGAAUCGUGUGAUCGUGACCCGAGCUGAAAUCAAGAGUUGGAUGCUUAACUGACCGAGUCACCCAGUUGCCCCUGUGAGAAGUUCCUUUAAUCAUCUGUGUACAAUUGUAGUAAAUGUACAAAUAUGGUCUCAGGCCCCACAAAAUCUGGAUCCACCCUUGCUCUCAGCAAUCCUGUUAAUAAAAAUUAUUCAUCAUUCAAAACCAAGAUCAAAUGUCACUUCCUUUAUAAAUUAUUUCCUGAAUCCCUAAUCAGAGAGAGAGACAGAGACAGAGACAGAGCAUAAGCAGGGAGGGAGACACAGGAUUGAAGCAGGCUCCAAGAUCCAAGCUGUCAGCACAGAGCCCUAUGCAGGGCUCAAACUCACAAACCAUGAGAUCACAAUUUGAGCCAAAGUCAGACGCUUAACCGACUGAGCCACCAAGGCACCACAUUUAUUCCUUUUUUAAAAUACAACUUUCCUUGUUUUGGGAGUGACUGAGGUUUUCUCAUGGUUAAAAUCAGGUUAUA